GUACAUAGAAUGCAAUGCACCAGGCAGGGAGAGAGGCUGAACAGGACAGAACCGGCGAGGUUGGGGGGCAGUAGUGGGUGAGUGGGAAGGAGUAAUUUUCAGAUCAGCCUCCUUUAAAGGGCACAUGAGCCCAGACUGGAGAGGCCAACUGUGUGAACACUUGGCAGAAAGGAAUUUUGGGCAAAGGGAGGCCACAAGAGUGCCCAGAGGAGCAGCAGGUGGGCCCUGAGUUCCAAGCAGAGGAGUGAGGGGCCACAGAGGUUUCCUUGAGGAAAGGGCUGUGCCGGCUUAGGGCGGUUGGACGACGGCUGCUUCGCCUCCAGCCAGCUCUUGAUUUCCCCCAGCUGUCGACCACCAUGUUCUCACAGAUGUAUGUUCUUUGUUUGUUUUCCAUCGACUUGGAGGAGGCGGAAUUCCAGGGUCCAAAACACAGGAGUCUGCAAGCGUCACAGAAAUCUGGACGUGCAUGUGGAAGGCUUCUCCCGUCCUUGAGGAUUAGACAACAGAGGUCCAGCAAGGCUGGAACUCACCUGAGACCCCAUUGAUGAGUAUCAGCAGGGCUGGGCCCCUCACUGAUAGGGGGUCGGCCCAGGCUGAUAGGCGGGGCCUUUGGGGCACAGUGAAGGUAGUAAUCAGGGGACAAAACACAAAGGGCAGGUGGCCUUCAUGGUGAUCCAUUCAAUCCAAGGUAUGUGGGUGGCAAUAAAAAGAAGAAAAGAAUCA
rnacentral:lncRNA from 1 species